rnacentral:lncRNA from 1 species
GUGGGUGGGUGGGGAGGGAGGGAGGGAGACAUAUGGGACGUGUAUAGUAGCAGUGGGAACAUGUGGGUCUGAGCGGAAGUGAUGUCAUUGGUGUUUGGUAACGUUAGGGGUCUGUUUGGGGUCUUUGUUUACGUGUGUUGUCAUUGUAAAAUUCUAUUUAAAAAAUGAAAACACUCACACUUUACAGUUAUACAGUUUACAGUUAUACACUUUACAGUUAACACUCACACUUUACAGUUAUACACUUUACAGUUAACACUCACACUUUACAGUUAUACACUUUACAGUUAUACUACACUUUACAGUUAUACAGUUUACAGUUAUACACUUUACAGUUAUACACUUUACAGUUAACACUCACACUUUACAGUUAACACUCACACUUUACAGUUAUACACUUUACAGUUAUACAGUUUACAGUUAUACUACAUUUUACAGUUAUACAGUUUACAGUUAUACACUUUAAAGUUAUACACUUUACAGUUAAUAUGGGGCUAAAUAUAGGGGCUAUAUGGGGCUAAAUAUAGGGGCUAUAUGGGGCUAAAUAUAGGGGCUAUAUGGGGCUAAAUAUAGGGGCUAUAUGAGGCUAAAUAUAGGGGCUAUAAGGGGCUAAAUAUAGGGGCUAUAUGGGGCUAAAUAUAGAGGCUAUAUGGGGCUAAAUAUAGCGGCUAUAUAGGGCUAAAUAUAGGGGCUAUAUGGGGCUAAAUAUAGGGGCUAUAUGGGGCUAAAUAUAGGGUCUAUAUGGGGCUAAAUAUAGGGGCUAUAUGGGGCUAAAUAUAGGGGCUAUAUGGGGCUAAAUAUAGGGGCUAUAUGGGGCUAAUACUGGAAACCCCCUAACUGGAAAUUUCUCACCUGUCUGAACUCUUUAACCCUCUCAGAGACAGGACGUUUCUCACCUGUCUGAACUCAUUAACCCUCUCAGAGACAGGACGUUUCUCACCUGUCUCAUCUCUUUAACCAUCUCAGAGACAGGACAUUCCUCACCUGUCUGAACUCUUUAAACAUGUCAGAGACAGGACGUUUCUCAUCUGUCUGAACUCUUUAACCAUGUCAGAGACAGGACGUUUCUCACCUGUCUGAACUCUCAGAGACAAAGUCUGUAUCCCAAAUAGCACCAUAAUCCCUAGCCCCUGUACAGGGCAUUAUGACCUUUAGACCAGGGACGGCCCAUUUCACCAGCGAGGGCAAAAGUAGUGCACUGUAUAGGGUACGGGUAUUCAGAUUGGAUCCCUAUGAGGUCAAGAGCCCAUUGGUUCUCUGUUCUGGCUGAUCAUUAUUUACACCCACCUGUUGUCCCAGGUCUAAAUCAGGCCCUGAUUUAGAGGGGAAUCACCCACGUGUUGUCCCAGGUCUAAAUCAGGCCCUGAUUUAGAGGGGAAUAUCACCCACGUGUUGUCCCAGGUCUAAAUCAGGCCCUGAUUUAGAGGGGAUAUCACCCACUUGUUGUCCCAGGUCUAAAUCAGGCCCUGAUUUAGAGGGGAAGAAUGAAUAAAAACAGCGGAACUGUCUUCCAGGGCCAGAGUUGAAUUUGUGGAUUACAGGGGAAAAGGGCGCCAUUUGGGACAGAGCCAUAAUGUUUCUAAACCAUCUCUUCCUCUGGCUGCUACUAAACUGGAGAGUCCAACACCGUCUAACUGAGUCACACUGACUGGCUAUAAUGAUUAUAAUAAUAACUGGCUAGAACCAUGGAACCAUAGUUGAGAACUGGUUCCAACUGGCUAGAACCAUGGAACCAGAGUUUAUAACUGGCUAGAACCAUAGAACCAGAGUUUAGAACUAGUUAGAACCAUGGAACCAUAGUUGAGAACUGGUUAGAACUGGCUAGAACCAUGGAACCAUAGUUGAGAACUGGUUAGAACUGGCUAGAACCAUGGAACCAUAGUUUAGAACUGGUUAGAACUGGCUAGAACCAUGGAACCAGAAUUUAGAACUGGCUAGAACCAUAGUUUAGAACUGGUUAGAACUGGCUAGAACCAUGGAACCAUAGUUGAGAACUGGUUAGAACUGGCUAGAACCAUGGAACCAUAGUUUAGAACUGGUUAGAACUGGCUAGAACCAUGGAACCAGAAUUUAGAACUGGCUAAAACUAUGGAACCAGAGUUUAGAACUGGUUAGAACUGGCUAGAACCAGAGUUUAGAACUGGUUAGAACUGGCUAGAACCAUGGAACCAUAGUUUAGAACUGGUUAGAACUGGCUAGAACCACGGAACCAUAGUUUAGAACUGGUUAGAACCAUAGUUUAGAACUGGUUGCGAUACAGAGGUUGAGAUUUAAAAAAACGUGAUGAUCUGGACCACGUGUUUCUGUGACGUAAUACACGUCUUUCUUGAUGACGAGGAGCACGAACUCUUUACUGAUGAAAACACUCGCCUGUCUUGAACCUCUUGAGUAGUCUAAUAUCGUGGCUGCGCGCUGCUAUUGGCCCGUGAGCACAAAGGGGGAAUCCGAUUGGGUUGUGGCGGUGCCUUGCUUUGUUUUUUUUUCUAUGUAACUCUGUUUCUUGGCAAAUUUUAAUGAAACUGUUUUUCUUUUCAUAAUGUGGCAUUUUGUAUUUCAACUUAUAAAGCCCAAUAAAACUUCCCUGAGAAACUCCUGUGUGUUUUUUUUUCCUUCUUUUUAACUUCCUGACUCGAUGAUUGACAGGAGCACAUGGUUUACUUCCCGCCUCUCUGGAAUGUUGGGAAGCCUCCGUCAUCAUCUUGACAACCUCGCUACAGGUCAACUCCCAGCUGUUGGUCUGUGGGAAAGCUGAGACAAACACUACACACUACACACACACACACACACACACACACACACUACACAUUACACACGCACUACACACACACAAUACACACACACACUACACACACACACACACACACCCUUAUCUCGCUAAUCCGCUAGUCAUUAGUAUCACAGCUGGGAGGAUUAGCAUAGCGUCC